GACAGAGGAUGCAAGCGUUAUCCGGAAUGAUUGGGCGUAAAGCGUCUAUAGGUGGCUCUUCAAGUCCACCGUCAAAUCCCAGGGCUCAACCCUGGACAGGCGGUGGAAACUACCAAGCUGGAGUACGGUAGGGGCAGAGGGAAUUCCCAGUGUAGCGGUGAAAUGCGUAGAUAUUGGGAGGAACACCAGUGGCGAAGGCGGCUCACUGGACCGGUUCUGACGCUGAAGCGCGAAAGCGUGGGGAGCAAACGGG
rnacentral:rRNA from 1 species